UGUGGUUUAGUUUCACUUUUAAAUUCCUACUUCAUUCCUGCCCUUGAAAAUCUGCAAGUUUGGUAUUAAUCCAAAUAUUCACAAAACCAUUUCCUAUGGUGUUAUCUUUUGCUUUUUCCAGGAAGUAAAUCACCAGUUCAUAAAAUACCUACAAGAAAGCCAGGUUCCAGGCAUAGGAAGUGCGUGAUGAAAAAUCUGGAAAGCAGGAGAUUACCGCUCUCGGGACAUAAACCAUGGUCUGGAGGGCAUGGCACUACAGAAGGGGAAGCAGGCACCACAGCAGUCCUAUUUCCCCACCCCACACAGGGUGCCCAGUGUCUAAACCUUCCAUGCAACAGAACAACACUCCUCCCCACCCCACAACCCUGCUAUGCUAGGCUGAACUCACCAUGGCUUGAGGUGCAGAGCGGUGCUGUAAUGAAGCACUCCAAACCUAAAGUGACAAUUAUCGUUUCUCAUUAAAAGUAUUUAUGGGAAUAACAUAAGGAAGUUUUUGAGGCAUAGUUUGUCUUUCUGUUGUGACUGUAAGUCUAAUCUAACCCUGUGAGGUUCCUCUUUCACAUCUGCUGAAUGUUUGUACCUGAUCAGGCAGAGAAAGAUGCAGACUAGGGAGGAUUUGUUCUAGAUUGCCCAGUCCUCUACAGCCUCUGAUCAUGAAGCCAGAGCUUGGAGGGGCCAUGUGACUGAGAAUGGAGAGAGCAGUUGCGGCGGGAGAGGGAAGAAGACAGAGAGGGGAAUUGGGAAGGGCACCAGGACAUCAUGGGUUUGCUCAGGCAACAAACUCAUUCAGACCAUGAUGGACCUACAUGCCCAAAAGACCCUGAACUCAGCAGCUUUUCCGAUCCAUAGAAAGCUCCUUGAUUGCUACUUCCUAUUGCCUCCCUU
rnacentral:lncRNA from 1 species